rnacentral:rRNA from 1 species
UCAGGCCUAACACAUGCAAGUCGAACGCCCUGGCAACAGGGAGUGGCAGACGGGUGCGUAACGCGUGGGAACAUGCCCUUUGGUUCGGAAUAACUCAGGGAAACUUGAGCUAAUACCGGAUAAGCCCGAGAGGGGAAAGAUUUAUCGCCGAAGGAUUGGCCCGCGUCUGAUUAGCUAGUUGGUGAGGUAAUGGCUCACCAAGGCGACGAUCAGUAGCUGGUCUGAGAGGAUGAUCAGCCACACUGGGACUGAGACACGGCCCAGACUCCUACGGGAGGCAGCAGUGGGGAAUAUUAAGCAAUGGGCGCAAGCCUGAUCCAGCCAUGCCGCGUGUUAAGAGAGGCCUUAGGGUUGUAAAGCUCUUUUACCCGGGAAGAUAAUGACGUCC